rnacentral:tRNA from 1 species
GGUCUAUUAGCUUAGUUAGUUAGAGCGUUAUGCUAAUAAUAUGAAAGUCACAAAUUCAAUUCCCGUUUGGGCCA